AUGAACAAGAAGAUCUUGAACCCUCCUCACAGUAGGAAACCAGGAAGACCCAAGAGCAAGAGGGUAAGAAGUUAUGAUGAACCUCGUGUUGAGAAGACAAAAAGGAGGUGUGGGAAAUGUGGAAAUGUUACUAACCACAACAAAAGAACAUGUGCUGGUGGUGAAGUGGGAUCUAAUCCAACUGCAAAGAGGCAAAGGACUGAAUGUGAUGCACAAAGCUUCACCUUCAGCAACAUAGAGCCAAGUCAGACCACCGGAGUUAGGGGUGCAGCUAAGUCAAACAAGAAGAAGAGAACGGCAUCAUUUGUUGGUGAAUGUUUUACAGGGCCUGGCAGUCAGCCUUUGGCAACACCAUCUUCUACUCCAGCUUCCACAACACCUAUGAGUCUGCCAUCUAUAGCACCAUCUUCUACUCCACCCUCUACAAUAAAUAACCUUUAUCAGAACUUCUUUGGCAUUGGAUCUGUAUCUCAGAAUAUAAAACAAGGAAAGGGAAGGGGAAAUGGAAAGGCUAAGAAGAAAUGAUUUGAGAUCCGUUUUCUGAUUUUUUGUGUUUAAGAAGACAAUAUUUUUUUCUUUUGUAGACUUGAAUUAAUGCUGAAUCAAAAGUGGAUGGUUGUUUAUUAGUACAUUUGCAGGUUACAUUUUCAGAUUGUUGAGUUCCUUACAUAUAGCAUUAAGUUGUAAACUUGAAUGCAUAAUUCUGUUUUUUGCAGCAAUGAAGACUUCAUCUGAGACCCAUUUAAAACCGUCACAAUCUGUACAAGUGAGGUUUGAUUUUGCAGUGGGCAGUUUUUGAAGCAAUGACCAGAUUCUCCGCAAGCGUAACAACCAUUCUCUACUGGUAAUUUCACCAUCUUGCAUUUGACAGGAUCGAUGGCAUCGUCAAACCAUUCAAAGUACUGACAGGGCCUAAUUUAUAUGAAUGAAGCUGAAUCUGACCGUUACAAAUCCAACCGUUACAAAUCCGACCGUUGCAAUGAGUCACCGAGUUGACUCGAUACUGGUUUGGUUACGAACUCAGACGAGGGUUAAGUCGUCUUUUACCUAGCAGGUUAACUGCCACGUAG